UGUUAGAAUAAUGUGCAUAAAUGUAUAUAGAAGUUAUCAUUAUUCCUCAUAUUCUUAUGUAAGAGUUUAUACUACAAGUGUAAACUGCUUUGACCUCUUUUAAUACAUUAUAUAAGAGUAUUUUUAUCAUAUAAGAGUGUUUCCUAACUUCUCUCUCCAAUAGAUUUACUACACAGCAGAACAAUGUUCUUUCAGUUUUCUGUGACUGUGUCUUUCCUAUCAGCAGGUGGGGGUGUGUGAGUGAUGGAUCCUCCGCUAAUAAAUCGUGGGGAGUUUUUGAGGAGGUGCCGCUGUUAUCAGAAGGAGCUCAUUAGAUGCCGCCUUGACCUUCACAUAUUCACAAGUGUUCAUUAUUAUGCUUUAUGAGAAUGUUUACUUUGCUGCACCAUCUACCACCCCUUUUAGAAACAUUAUGUAACCAGGGACAAGACUAAAUAAAAGAGACUGGGCGGAAAUACCUUUAGAGUGGUUUCGACAUGGUACCUGAAGCUAUCUCGGUCCAUUCUCCUCGAGUAUAUACCAUUGUCUUUCUCUUCUUUAUAUGUUAUCAGGUAAAUGUUGCAGGUUUUAGACCUAACAUUUCUUUGGUCCUUCGAGCCGGAUUCCAAUAGACCAGACGAUUCCAGCAGGUGAGGUGGACGACAGAUAAGACCGUGGCCACGGCAGACUCUUUAGGAUGAGUCUUGAAGACCUCUUUGAGGAACUGGACUCGACCUGCCUGCUGGGAUCCGACGGUUGACGGAAAUCCGAAGCCAAGGGGAAAGACAAGUGGUGAGUUGGUCUCUUAUAAAAAGGAACGUGGAAUGAUUGAGAUUCGCUUCGCGUAGAGAAUCUAUAAAAGACCAAACAAACAAAAGGACGCACAGGUCCUACGUAUAAAAAUCUGUGGAAAAGGACGCACGGGUCCUACGUAUAAAAAUCCGUUGAAAAGGACGCACGGGUCCUACGUAUAAAAAUCCGUUGAAAAGGACGCACGGGUCCUACGUAUAAAAAUCCGUUGAAAAGGACGCACGGGUCCUACGUAUAAAAAUCCGUGGAAAAGGACAAACGGGUCCUACAAAUCUGUGAAAAAAGGACGGUAGAGUCCAAAUUGGAAAAUUUUAAUUCAAGGACGCACGGGUCCUACAAAGCCGUUAAAAAAUUCUGCAGAACAAAACACGUGUUAAAAGUGUGAUUAUGAAAGUGUGAGAGUGAUUGGAAUAGGCAUAUAUCACUAGAUAUAUCCUAUUCAUACCAAAACAGUGGGAUUGUAAGUAGUGACCUUAUUGUGGAAGCAAAGGCAAGAAUUCUCCACUCGCAAGAGUAGAAGUGAGAAUUACCACAUAAGGAAUUUUUUAUCACUACCCCAUUGAAAGAACCCAGCUUAAUAGGACACCCUAGGUGUCACCUAAGCUGGACCAAAACACAUAAAAAUGGGGACGGAAACCAGUAAGGCUAAUUUGGAAGAAUUAAGAUGUCAAGAUUGGAGAAUCUUUGAAAAAGAGCCAGAAAAAUUACAAUUCCUCGAAUUAUGGGUAACUAAAUUUGGAUUCGAUGGCAGCCUAAGAACAAGCCAAUUAAAUAAACUACACGACUCCAUAAGCAUAAAAUAUGGGUGUCAAAUGAUUGAUGAAUGGAAAAAAGUAGCAAAAGCCAGAGAGGAUGGAGAAAGGAGGAGAAAAAAGGGAAGAACAAAUGGAGCUAGUGCAUUUUUUGCAGAAGGUGACAAUGAAAAUGAAGCCUUCUAUCAAAAUGCAAGAGGCAGAAGCAGAAGAGGAUUCAGAGGUAGAGGACAAGAUAGGCCCAGACCAGGAGGAGCAAAUCAAAGAGGGACAUGUUGCUGGGCAUGUGGAAAGGAGGGACAUAUAGCCCGCAUUUGCAAUAACAAAUCAAAGGGAGGAAGGCGUGAGCAGUCAGGACGAGAUCAAAAGCUAUAAGUAAAGACAACUUUAAUAAUAAUAAUAAUUAUAAUAAUAAUACUGAUAAUAAUGCAGAAAUGAAAGGUAGAAAAGGCAGUUAAAUAGGCAGAAAGGUUUAAUGCAGACUGCAAAUUUUUAACAAGUUAAAUUCUCUGUACAGUCUCUGUUCUCUGCACAAAUGCUAGAAUGAUACAUCAGAGGCCAGUUACGACCUUGACUCCUCCAGAGACACAGCAGCCAAAGAAUCCCUCCCUAUGCAGAAGCAUGUAGCUAUAAAAAGACAAAACUGUGACUUAACUGUUACAGCCUAUGAAGUAUAAGUUGUACAUGUAGACGUGUCACUGGAGAAGAAGAGGUUUUCUGACCUCAGCUGGCAUCCCUGUUAAACAUUUGAACCAACUGAUUGAUAUUAUACCCUAUUGGAACUUAAAGAAGUAACCAUAGUAAAGUGCAGAGAACACCAAAGCUAACUUGGAAUUAAAAACCCUCUCUAUAAUGCUAUUUAACUUAAGAUUAACUCCAAAUGUGACAAUGUAUUUCAUACUAUAUGAGAUAAAUAGGACGACUAUGGAAUAAUAAGAGAGAUGAUAAACCAUUUGAUGACUAUGACAGAGAGAACAAGGAAGUCGCAGGUUAAGAGGCAGGAAUUUCAAUAGAGAAAACAAUAGAAGAAGUAGAAGUUUUGACAAAAGUUAUGAAUCACAAGAGCAAAGAGAUAAAGAACAGUACCCUGACCAAGGUCAUGAACCACAACAUCAGAGAAUUGUAGAGCUUUUUUGUCACUAGGUGAAGAGCUGUAGAAAAAAGUAUCAAGCAGGACUAGAGGAGGGAGAGACAGCAAACGUUACUCGACAGAAAUAAAGAGAAAGGGUGAACAGAGACGAUACAGAGGAGGAAGAAGUGCUAAACUUGGAGAAGAUAAAUAAAUAUAUAAAGAUAUUUUGAUAGAUAGAUUGAUAGAUAUACUUUAUUGAUCCCAAAUUGGGAAAUUCUCUUGUUAUAGCAGCAAAAAGAAAAUAUAAAAUUAAAUAUAAUAAGAAGUACAAUGCAGACUAAAAAUAAUAAAGAUACUAAGUAUAUACAAUAAAUAUAGGCUAAAUAUGCUAAACAUCCUAAGAGAUAAAAGUGAGAUAUGAAGAACGUGGGCUAUUGAAAUUAGUAAAAAAUAUGAAAUGAGUAAUAAAUAUGAAAUGAGAAAUAUUACAGAUGGGAUGAUAGAUAUACAAUUUAAGGUGCUCUGUAAUAUGAUGUGAUAGGAGUUUUUAAGAAUGGACUAUACAGCAGACAGGCGUGAGUCCCUGUCUGACAUAUGUGAGUUAUUUAACAGUGCAAUAACUUGUGGCAGGACAGAUUUCCUGUAUCAGCGGAGCUGCAACAGUCAUUUGGAGAAGGAAUACAUUGUGCAGACAUAACACCGCAGAUAUAGUUAAUGAUUCAGGGUUUACCCUUAACCUUUUUGUGUGACUCCGGUGCAAAGAAAACAGUUCUUAGACAUAAACUAUCACAGAUUAGGUUUUCCAAACAAAAGAUUUUUGUCAAAUCAACACACAGAGAGAGCUUGAGAGGUAGUAAUAGCGAGUCAUGGGCCUUGCCAUGUCUCGACAGGAGGGAGGAGUGUAGUAGUUAACCCUAUUGAUUCAUAAAUUAUUUAAAAAAAAAAAAAAAUAAUAAUAAUAAAUAAAAAAUAAAUAAUUUACUAUUUGAUUUGUUCAGUUUGUUUAAGACAUAAUGCUCAAGACAGUAUAAAACCAAAAAGAGGCAAAUUUCCACCAACCAAUGCAUUAUUUGAAGCCAUGCACAUGGACUUCAUAGAAUUAAAUCAGUGUGAGAGAAAGAAAUAUUGUUCAGUGUUAAUAGAUCCUUUCACUAAAUGGAUAGAAUUAUUUCCUGUUACCCAUCCAGAUGCAUUAACAGUAGCAAAAAUCCUGCGUAGAGAAAUAAUUUCUUGAUUUGGCAUUCCAAAACGAAUCUACAGUGACAAUGGAACUCAUUUUGUCAAUGAAAUAAAUAAAUAAAUAAAUAAAUAAUAAUAACUAGAAAAUGCAAGUUCUGAAGAAAUUGCGAGAUGGAUUGCUCCAGCUAAAAUUGUAAUUGCUAAGCUGCUAUUGUAAAUGGUUUAAGUUCAAAAAUUAUGCGAAAGAUAUGAGAUUUGAAGAUUCAGAAAGGGUUGAAUCAGUUUAAAUGAGUUGGAAUUAGUUUGAAAAAAUUGAAUACUGAAUGAAGAAUGAAAUGAUCUAAAACUGAAAAAAUUAAAAUGAUCAUAAUCUGAAUGUAUAGAGGAGUUGAAGGCUUUUAAAGUUGUGUAAAGAAAAUGUGAGAAAAGGGCCAAUUUGAAAAUUCUGUAAUGCAUUUCUAACGAGAAAAAUUGGUUGUAAAAUCUGGAGUAUCUUGGAAAGGAAGAAUGUUAGGAAAAUUUUGAAUAUAAGCUGGAAUCUCCUGAAGUUUGAAUGGUUUUUAAUACAGUGAAGUAAGUGGAAGGAAUUAAAAAAAUAAAGGUACUGCUAAUGACAGCCACAGCAGUAAAAAUAGCACAAAGAAGUAGUUGGAUACAUCUUUCCCAUUGCAAAAAAACCUAUAUGGGUUUUAGUUAGGAAAGUCUGACUUCAAAGGGGGGCGUCCUUAUAGUGGGCGUUCGUCUCAAUGUCAGUGAAGAUUAGAUGGUGUUGAAUUCCUUAGGAGCUUAAGCUAUGGGAAAGUUAAGUAUCUUACUUCUGCUAAACCUGAAACUGUUAAUUUACCUACUGAAACAUUAUUUACAACUUCAGAUGAACUUAAGGAAGGAAAGAGAAGUGACAACAACGAUAGUCCUCACAUCCUGUGUGACUACCAAUCAAAAAUCACAUUCAGCUGUUCUGAAGGCGACCAUGUGCAGAGAGCAAACCUGAGAGACAGUGAGCAGGGGUAUGAAUCACCCAGACGGACACCACAGUUGCUUCAUGUAGUGAAGACACUGAGAACUUUACCAUAGCUUAACUGCUACUAGGCGUUUGUUAUUUUGUUUACAAUGGGAUUUUGUGUAUGCUUGUUUUGUCAAUAAACACUUAUACUUAUGUUUAUUAAAGGUACAUCACAAAAUAAAAAAAAAUUAGUUAACAAAAAUGAUGGAAGAAUAAUAUUAAUAAAGAUAUGAAUAACAUAUAGUGGAAUGCUUCGCAAUCCCUCUCAAUAAAUAAUAAUUAAAAAAAAACUAAUUUGAAGUGAACAUGUGGUACAGAUAUGCAAAAAUAUCUAGUAAAAAUGAAGAAUCAGUCUAACUUCUAUGUCUGUACUAGGAAUUCCCUAACUAUAAUAAAAGUGUAUGUGUUUUCUGUAGCUGUACCUGAAUGACAGCAGACUGAUAAUAGGGCCUUAGUAACUUUAAUCCUAACUGUUAUAACUUUCUAGACCAGUGUGACAAAUUUAACCUCUGCAGUUAGUCUUAUUCCUUUGUUGAGCCACUCCAGAGUAAAAGAAAUUAGCAAACAGAGUCAGACCCGACUUAUAUAGAUAGUUCCUUGUGAGGUACCAGAUGAGUACAAACUAGUAAAUCAAGUUGCUGCAGGCUUUGAGUCUCUCGUCUGUCCUUGGUGUACAAUGAACAAAAAUAUAGAUCAAAUCAGAAUCAACUACAUCCAUUUCAACGUUCAAAAGCUAGGUAAUUGGACUGAGGCUGGUUUUCAGGCCGUUCACUCGCAGUUAUCUGUAACAUCCCUGAUGGCUUUCCAAAACCGUAUAGCCCUUGACAUGCUGCUCGCAGAAAAAGGAGGUGUAUGUGCCAUGUUUGGAGAAACAUGUCGCACGUUCAUUCCUAAAAAAAAAAAAAAAAAAAAAAAAAACACUGCUGCUGAUGGCAGCCUCACUCGAGCCAUAGAGGGCCUAAAAACGCUUCACAGCAAAAUGAAAGACCACUCAGGAAUAGAUAACUCCUCUUGGGACAAUUGGAUGAAUGUAUUUGGGAAAUACAAAAAAUCUUGUAGAUUCAGUCCUAAUCUCUGUUGCUGUUUUUGCAGCUAAUUUGACCUUGUGUGGAUGUUGUUGUAUUUCUGUAUUUGUUCUCUUCUUAACCGUCUUAUCACCACAGCGUUGUCCCCUGUGGAGCAGCAGAUGCAGGAGCUGUACCCGCUGCUCCAUCAGCAGGACGAGGAGGACAGACUUGAUGACACUCAAUGGCCUGACCUGUGCCCCAAUCCGGAUGAUGAGUAUAAUUCUGACUAAAGCAACAUCUUGUACCUCCGGGUGUAAAUUCUUUGUAGUCAUACACAUGAACUCGCAGCUGAAAAUCGAGAGAAGUGGCUGAACUAGAGGGAUUAUGAGAAUUUGAGCAAAGUAAUGAUAAACAGGAGGGAAAUGUUAGAAUAAUGUGCAUAAAUGUAUAUAGAAGUUAUCAUUAUUCCUCAUAUUCUUAUGUAAGAGUUUAUACUACAAGUGUAAACUGCUUUGACCUCUUUUAAUACAUUAUAUAAGAGUAUUUUUAUCAUAUAAGAGUGUUUCCUAACUUCUCUCUCCAAUAGAUUUACUACACAGCAGAACAAUGUUCUUUCAGUUUUCUGUGACUGUGUCUUUCCUAUCAGCAGGUGGGGGUGUGUGAGUGAUGGAUCCUCCGCUAAUAAAUCGUGGGGAGUUUUUGAGGAGGUGCCGCUGUUAUCAGAAGGAGCUCAUUAGAUGCCGCCUUGACCUUCACAUAUUCACAAGUGUUCAUUAUUAUGCUUUAUGAGAAUGUUUACUUUGCUGCACCAUCUACCACCCCUUUUAGA
rnacentral:lncRNA from 1 species